GCUGGGCGCGGUGGGCACGCCUGUAAUCCCAGCAGCUCGGUAGGCUGAGAUAGGAGGAUCACAAGUUCAAAACCAGCCUCAGCAACCAUUAGGUGCUAAGCAACUCAGUGAGACCCUAUCUCUA
rnacentral:sRNA from 1 species